GAGCUACUUGGAUUAAUACUCUAGGAUAGUGGACGUUACUCGCAGAAUAAGCACCGGCUAACUCUGUGCCAGCAGCCGCGGUAAUACAGAGGGUGCGAGCGUUAAUCGGAUUUACUGGGCGUAAAGCGUGCGUAGGCGGCUUUUUAAGUCGGAUGUGAAAUCCCUGAGCUUAACUUAGGAAUUGCAUUCGAUACUGGGAAGCUAGAGUAUGGGAGAGGAUGGUAGAAUUCCAGGUGUAGCGGUGAAAUGCGUAGAGAUCUGGAGGAAUACCGAUGGCGAAGGCAGCCAUCUGGCCUAAUACUGACGCUGAGGUACGAAAGCAUGGGGAGCAAACAGGAUUAGAUACCCUGGUAGUCCAUGCCGUAAACGAUGUCUACUAGCCGUUGGGGCCUUUGAGGCUUUAGUGGCGCAGCUAACGCGAUAAGUAGACCGCCUGGGGAGUACGGUCGCAAGACUAAAACUCAAAUGAAUUGACGGGGGCCCGCACAAGCGGUGGAGCAUGUGGUUUAAUUCGAUGCAACGCGAAGAACCUUACCUGGUCUUGACAUAGUAAGAACUUUCCAGAGAUGGAUUGGUGCCUUCGGGAACUUACAUACAGGUGCUGCAUGGCUGUCGUCAGCUCGUGUCGUGAGAUGUUGGGUUAAGUCCCGCAACGAGCGCAACCCUUUUCCUUAUUUGCCAGCGGGUUAAGCCGGGAACUUUAAGGAUACUGCCAGUGACAAACUGGAGGAAGGCGGGGACGACGUCAAGUCAUCAUGGCCCUUACGACCAGGGCUACACACGUGCUACAAUGGUCGGUACAAAGGGUUGCUACCUAGCGAUAGGAUGCUAAUCUCAAAAAGCCGAUCGUAGUCCGGAUUGGAGUCUGCAACUCGACUCCAUGAAGUCGGAAUCGCUAGUAAUCGCGGAUCAGAAUGCCGCGGUGAAUACGUUCCCGGGCCUUGUACACACCGCCCGUCACACCAUGGGAAUUUGUUGCACCAGAAGUAGGUAGUCUAACCGCAAGGAGGACGCUACCACGGUGACCA
rnacentral:rRNA from 1 species